UAACAAGGGUGUUUCUGUUCCUGGUGAUGUGAGAUCUGGACCCGCACCCACCAUCACACUUGGAUGCAGACCCAGUCCUAGGAAAAGCCUACCGCUGAGAACAGACUGGGCUGUGCUAUUUCUAAAGGUAAGGUACAUCCACUUCCCUUCCAGUUGGUCUGUGAAGCUGAAGCACCAGAAUUUCUAACAUCGUGGGUGGAGAACAGAUGUGUGCAUUUUCUACCCACUUUUGACAGCUCAUCCUCCUUGAUGCCAAGUGACUUAGUUCUUCCGAGAGACAGUUCACCAGGCUAGUCCUCUCGCCAACUUCUGUGACGAACUGUGCCAGCUCCUCUGCCUGCCAGGAGGCAGAGGACAGACCCUGCGUGCUAACCGCCUGAACGGCCGCUGUGGGUGUCUCACUCACCUCCUC